GGAUCGGGGCGGGGCUGGCGCAAGCGUGGGGCGGAGUUCCAGGGCCUCCGCUCCUGCGCCCCCAAGCCCAGCUCGCACACCAGCUGGAAGUGGGGGUCAGCUCUAUGCGUGACGGUGGGAGGCGGGGAGACGGACAGUCACCCCCAGAGACACAGGGUCCCUCCCGGGUCACCUGGGGAUGCGUCCGCCGGGCCUGAAUCGAACACGCCCACGAUCGAGAUGGGGACAGUCCUGGGACCGCCCAGGCAGGGCUGGAUUCCUCGGAAAGGCCCGCCACGCCGGGGCCUGCCCAGCCCCGUGAACCCCACAAAGUGCUGAGUAACGAUGACCGGGAAGUAUCUCGGUGUCUCUGAGUGGUUCUUGACCACCUAAUUCAUCAUAGCCAAAGGUGCUCGAUGAUACUGCACGUUCCUGGACCACACAGACAGACAUACAGAAUCAGUCUUUUGAGGUAAGUCUUUGUAAUCUGCAUUUUUGAAAAGCAUCUCAGGUGAUUGGGUACACUAAGAUUUGAUGAGCUUUGCCAUGGGACCUUCAGAGGGAGGCCAGCAUUAGUUAAGCUUCAAGACUGUGUCUAGCAAGACAGUUGAGAUGGAGACUCAAAAGAGAAUGUGGUAAGUGACAUAAAAUCAGGAGCUCGAAGUACUACAGUAAAAAAAGUGGUAGAAGGAAAAGGAACAAAUUAACCUGGGUGGGACAAUCAUUAAAUGCCAAGCCUAGAGCUGGGUGUGUCUUAUCAUUCCUCUCAAUAUCCCUUAGAAGAUAGACAUUAUUUUUCCUAUUUUACAGAGAAGGAAAUUGAGAUUCAAAGAGGUCACCUAGUCAUAUCCAAUGUUCGCUAAUUCUUAUACUCUGUCCAUGAAGGGUGGGAAGUAUCAGCGCAGUUUUCAAGCCCAUCUGCAUACAUUAAGUACCCCUCAUUUCACCAGUGAAAAAUAUCUGACAUCCCUUAUGCUAAUGUUCUGUAUAUUACAACACAUCAAAUGUUAACUCUUUAGAUUGUAAAAACUAAUUUAUGCAUAAAUAUAUAUCACACUUCAAUUGCCAAGUAUUUUAAUGUAAAUUUCAGAUAAUGUAAUAACCCCUGUGAGUAACCUACCCUGCACAUCACUGCUCCUUAUAGCCCUUAAUUUGGUCCAGUGGUCACCCUUGCUGCCCCCUUGAGCCCUUUCACCAUGUAGCAUGGAAUCAUCUGGAUUCAGCAAGCACCACUGUAUUCCCAGAUGUUUCUUUUGCUUUAACCGAAAGUUUUGCCCCUCUCAGUGUAUAUCAUUGCAUGACAUACAAUGUUCCACGUAUGUCACGGCCAGGCGGUAAGGCAAGUGCUUCCCUUUGCUGCAUCCAGUUUCUUUCUCCUUCCAAAAUCCCACAGAUUUUUAGAAAGUAAAAAAAAAUUUUUUUUUUGAAAGAAAAAGGAAAUUGACCUUUACAGCAUGCCAUAAAAUUACUUAAAAUUUACCAAGGAACUCCUGGAAGAAGACAUUAGAGAUAAUCUUUGCAACCUUGAGGUAGGCAAAUAUUUCUUAGGCAGAACACAGAAAUCACUAGCUAUAAAUGAAAAAGUUAAUAAAUUUGGCUUCUCACAACACACACACACACACACACACACACACACAAAUAUGUGAGGUGAUGCAUAUGUUAAUUAGCUUGAUUUAGCCAUUCUACAUUGUAUACGUAUAUCAAAAUAUGUUGUACACCAUCAAUAUAUACAAGUUUCACUUGUCAAUUAAAAAAUAAUUUUUUAAAAAUGGGGGAAGCUAGCAGUCUUGCAUCCCCUGUGAAGGGAUGUAUGCUCUAGUGGGUGGAUUUUACUUUAUAUUAAGUAUUGUUAUAAGUAGUUAGAUAGGCAUGAGUGAGGCAGGAGAGGGCUCUCCACCCACCCACUAGGAAUGUCAGAUGACAGUUGGACAAUUAUCACACCACCACUCUAAAAACGAUAAUGUGGCAGCCUACCCAGGGUGCCAGGGAGAGGCCAUUUCCUGGUGAUCCACAGCGGUUAACAUUAAAGUGUUAAAUGAAUCCAGAUGCCCGGGAGGAGAAACUGCCUGGGCAUGUGCACUAAGUGACAAAAUGGCAAAAUAAGACAUUCCAGGCAGGCUCUUCCCGAAAAAGGGAAGAAAGUCUCAGAUAGGCAUGCAUAUGACUUCCUAAACACACUGUGUGUGCUCAAUUCCCCAGGGUAAGGGGGCAGGCACUAGGCAGGCAGGCAGCCCACCCUGAGGGAAGAAUCAUGGGAAAGAGGCAAGCCUAUAAAGUCCUGAGAUGAAGUCGAAUUCUCCUGAGGAGGCAAGGACGAAGUUGCUGUAGAUGUGUACAGAUUCGCUGCUAAUAAUUCAGGGUAACUUGGAUCUCUUCCACUUGUAACACAAUCAUCUAAAGAAAAUAAAAAUAAAUAGAAUAAAUUAUAAAAACUAAAAAUCUCUGCUCUUUGAAAACCAUUGCUUAAAAAUAAAUGAAAAUGAAUAAAUAAAUUUCUCCCAGUCUGUGACUGGAAGAAAGUAUGCUCAAUACAUACUUCUAACAAAGGACCUACAUUCAGAAUGUAUAGGGAUCUGUUACAGCUCAAUAAUGGGAAGACAAAUAACGGGUAAAAACAUGGCAAUAGAUUUGAACACAUACUUCUUAAAAGAAGAUAUAUAUCAAGAGGCUGAGGCAGGAGAAUCGCUUGAAUGCAGGAGGUGGAGGUUGCAGUGAGCCGAGAUGGUGCCACUGCACUCCAGCCUGGGACUCUGUCUCAAAAGAAAGAGAAGAUAUAUGAAUGACCAGUAAGCACAUAAACAGAUGGAUUGCUCAACAUCCGUAGUCACCAGCGAAAUUCAAAUUAAAACCAUAAUAAGAUACCACUAUGCGACCUCUAGGCUGGUAAAAUUAAAACAAAACAAAACACACACACACACAGACACUACCACAUGCUGGCAAGAUUGUGGACUCAUCGGAAAUAAUUCAUACUUCACUGGUAGGAUUAUAAAAUUGUACACCCACUUUGAAAAACAGUUUGGCAAGUUUUGUUUUUUGUUUUUGUUUUUAAUGAAGUUAAACACACAUUUACCAUAUGACCUAGUAAUUCCACUUCUAGGCAUUUACCCUCCAAAAAUUAAAACACAUGUAUACAAGGACUUGCAUAUGAAUGUUGGGAGCAGCUGUAUUCAUGAUAGCUCUAAACUAAAAACAACCCAAAUGUUCACCAACAGGUGAAAUAAUAAUAAAUGUGAUAUGUCCAUACAAUAGAAUACUUCUCAGCAACAAAAA